rnacentral:rRNA from 1 species
GAUGAACGCUGGCGGCGUGCCUAAUACAUGCAAGUCGAGCGAACAGACGAGGAGCUUGCUCCUCUGACGUUAGCGGCGGACGGGUGAGUAACACGUGGAUAACCUACCUAUAAGACUGGGAUAACUUCGGGAAACCUGAGCUAAUACCGGAUAAUAUAUUGAACCGCAUGGUUCAAUAGUGAAAGACGGUUUUGCUGUCACUUAUAGAUUGAUCCGCGCCGCAUUAGCUAGUUGGUAAGGUAACGGCUUACCAAGGCAACGAUGCGUAGCCGACCUGAGAGGGUGAUCGGCCACACUGGAACUGAGACACGGUCCAGACUCCUACGGGAGGCAGCAGUAGGGAAUCUUCCGCAAUGGGCGAAAGCCUGACGGAGCAACGCCGCGUGAGUGAUGAAGGUCUUCGGAUCGUAAAACUCUGUUAUUAGGGAAGAACAAAUGUGUAAGUAACUAUGCACGUCUUGACGGUACCUAAUCAGAAAGCCACGGCUAACUACGUG